CCUACGGGAGGCAGCAGUGGGGAAUAUUGGGCAAUGGACGCAAGUCUGACCCAGCAACGCCGCGUGAAGGAAGAAGGCUUUCGGGUUGUAAACUUCUUUUAAGGGGGAAGAGCAGAAGACGGUACCCCUUGAAUAAGCCACGGCUAACUACGGGCCAGCAGCCGCGGUAAUACGUAGGUGGCAAGCGGUGUCCGGAUUUACUGGGUGGAAAGGGCGUGCAGCCGGGGAGACAAGUCAGAUGUGAAAUCCACGGGCUCAACCCGUGAACUGCAUUUGAAACUGUUUCCCUUGAGUGUCGGAGAGGUAAUCGGAAUUCCUUUUGUCGCGGUGAAAUGCGUAGAUAUUAG
rnacentral:rRNA from 1 species